GACGAACGCUGGCGGCGUGCUUAACACAUGCAAGUCGAACGAAAAGAGGGAAAGAGCUUGCUCUUUCCGGAAUUGAGUGGCAAACGGGUGAGUAACACGUAAACAACCUGCCUUCAGGAUGGGGACAACAGACGGAAACGACUGCUAAUACCGAAUAAGUUCCAAGAGCCGCAUGGCCCAUGGAAGAAAAGGUGGCCUCUACCUGUAAGCUAUCGCCUGAAGAGGGGUUUGCGUCUGAUUAGCUGGUUGGAGGGGUAACGGCCCACCAAGGCGACGAUCAGUAGCCGGUCUGAGAGGAUGAAAGGCCACACUGGAACUGAGACACGGUCCAGACUCCUACGGGAGGCAGCAGUGGGGAAUCUUCCGCAAUGGGCGAAAGCCUGACGGAGCAACGCCGCGUGAGUGAUGACGGCCUUCGGGUUGUAAAACUCUGCGAUCCGGGACGAAAAGGCAGAGUGCGAAGAACAAACUGCAUUGACGGUACCGGAAAAGCAAGCCACGGCUAACUACGUG
rnacentral:rRNA from 1 species